UAAUAGUGUAUAUUAAAGUUGUUGCAGUUAAAAAGCUCGUAGUUGAAUGUUGGUGUCGAACGAGCGGUCAGCUUCGGCUGUACUGCUCUCUCGACUCCUUCCUUCUGUGGACUACGUCGCACUUUACUGUGUGGCGCUAGGACGCAGAUCGUUUACUGUGAAAAAAUUAGAGUGUUCAAAGCAGGCCGUACGCUUGAAUACAUUAGCAUGGAAUAAUGGAAUAGGACGUCGGGCCUAUUUUGUUGGUUCUAGGACCGUCGUAAUGAUUAAUAGGGACAGUUGGGGCCGUUUAUAUUCCGUAGUCAGAGGUGAAAUUCUUGGAUUUACGGAAGAUAAACUACUGCGAAAGCAUUUGCCAAGGAUGUUUUCAUUGA
rnacentral:rRNA from 1 species